GUAGAGUGCGCAGGCGGUUUUGUAAGACUGUCGUGAAAUCCCCGGGCUCAACCUGGGAAUGGCGAUGGUGACUGCAAGGCUAGAGUUUGGCAGAGGGGGGUAGAAUUCCACGUGUAGCAGUGAAAUGCGUAGAUAUGUGGAGGAACACCGAUGGCGAAGGCAGCCCCCUGGGUCAAAACUGACGCUCAUGCACGAAAGCGUGGGGAGCAAACAGGAUUAGAUACCCCAGU
rnacentral:rRNA from 1 species